UGGAGAGCUAAGAGAACGAAAGCUCCAGGGAGGAAGGUGACAUCACAGACCGAAAAGCCCUUCUUUCCUCCCCCAACACAUGCACACUCAGCAGUGGCUUGGUAAGCUGAGUUCAGCCGGCUGCCCCUAGAUGGCAGUGUACGCACAUAGCAGGAGCUGCCCAGCAAAACUCCCCAGGGACAGCAAGGGUCUCCCAUGGGACCAGCAGAAGCUCACCAGGGCUGUGAGAGGGACCAGGAGAGGCACCCAUGAUGCCUGCUGCAUCCACCUAUGCUCUGCUUUGCUGCAGGGGCACAGUCUUGGGUGGAAGAUUGGACAUAAAGCCAAUGGUUCUGGUUCGACCAUUUACGGGCUGAAGUGACUCCCUGAGACUACUUUGCACAUUCGUUUUUUAAAUGCGUACCUUCAUGAAGCCCAGUUCACGUGAGAUUAUUCCAGAAGGAAUGCUUCUACACCGUCAGUUUAUGGAUGGGAUGAACGAGGUGAGAAAGCCAAUCACCAGCACAGAUAACAUGGCCUCAGCCUCAAUCAUUAAAGUGUGCUCCACCACACAAGUCAGACCCUCAUGUUCACACGUGAGUUCCUACCACAAAUCUCUACAGUCUUGUAGGAGACACAAUCGGAGGGCAGGGGGCCCAUGGCUGAGGCUGCAGAUGCAAACAGAAGCAAGAGGCCCUUGGAAGUUUGCAGAUUCUUUAAAAUAGAUGGUUCUGGAACCAACACAGCAGGCAUUGGGUGACAGGCCAACCACUCGAAACUGGGGAUCCCUCCUUCCUUCCUGAAACAUUCGUUUCCCUUGACUUCCACACACCACCCCUUCUUUUUUUUUUUUUUAAACUUUUUUAAUGUUUAUUUAUAUUUGAGAGAAA